CCUACGGGAGGCAGCAGUGGGGAAUAUUGGGCAAUGGGCGCAAGCCUGACCCAGCAACGCCGCGUGAAGGAAGAAGGCUUGCGGGUUGUAAACUUCUUGUAAGAGGGAAGAGCAGAAGACGGUACCUCUUGAAUAAGCCACGGCUAACUACGUGCCAGCAGCCGCGGUAAUACGUAGGUGGCAAGCGUUGUCCGGAUUUACGGGGUGUAAAGGGCGUGUAGCCGGGCUGACAAGUCAGAUGUGAAAUCCGGGGGCUCAACCCCCGAACUGCAUUUGAAACUGUUGGUCUUGAGUAUCGGAGAGGCCGGCGGAAUUCCUAGUGUAGCGGUGAACUGCGUCGAUAUUAGGAGGAACCCCAGUGGCGAAGGCGGCCUGCUGGACGACAACUGACGGUGAGGCGCGCCAGCGUGGGGAGCAAACAGGAUUAGAUACCCCUGUAGUC
rnacentral:rRNA from 1 species